GACGAACGCUGGCGGCGUGCCUAAUACAUGCAAGUAGAACGCUGAAGGAGGAGCUUGCUCUUCUGGAUGAGUUGCGAACGGGUGAGUAACGCGUAGGUAACCUGCCUGGUAGCGGGGGAUAACUAUUGGAAACGAUAGCUAAUACCGCAUAACAGUAGAUGUUGCAUGACAUUUACUUAAAAGGUGCAAUUGCAUCACUACCAGAUGGACCUGCGUUGUAUUAGCUAGUUGGUGGGGUAACGGCUCACCAAGGCGACGAUACAUAGCCGACCUGAGAGGGUGAUCGGCCACACUGGGACUGAGACACGGCCCAGACUCCUACGGGAGGCAGCAGUAGGGAAUCUUCGGCAAUGGACGGAAGUCUGACCGAGCAACGCCGCGUGAGGGAAGAAGGGUUUCGGAUCGUAAAGCUCUGUUGUAAGAGAAGAACGAGUGUGAGAGUGGAAAGUUCACACUGUGACGGUAUCUUACCAGAAAGGGACGGCUAACUACGUG
rnacentral:rRNA from 1 species